UCCGCCUCAUCAUCAUCAUCAUCAUCUAAACCAGCAGCUUCCACUGUGAUCACGGUGUCUGUAAUUCUGCUGCUGCUUCUGAUUGGAAUCAUAUUCCUCACUUUCACUGUUCAAAAGAGACGCAGGAUGCACGAUUCUGUUGCCCAGAAUUCUGUCCAAAACUCAGAAAGUGACCAUGGGGUAAUUCUCUU